GUUCAGUAGCUCAGUGGUAGAGCGGUCGGUUGUUAACUGACUGGUCGUAGGUUCGAGUCCUACCUGAGAAUA
rnacentral:tRNA from 1 species